AAAUAAUGGCGGAUGCACAGAUCAUAUUCUAAAAACGGUGCUGAUAAAAUAAAGAUUUAAAUUUGUAACAAAAUAAAAAUAAAAAUUUGAUGCAACUGAUAAGAAAUUAUAUUUUCAUUUUAUUUUCUUGCAAAUUUAAAUCUUAAUUCUAUAUGUUUCAGAUUUGGUAGAAGUUUAACAAUCAUUUAUUUUCAGAACCAGUCG
rnacentral:lncRNA from 1 species